GACAGAGGAUGCAAGCGUUAUCCGGAAUGAUUGGGCGUAAAGCGUCUGUAGGUGGCUUUUUAAGUCCGCCGUCAAAUCCCAGGGCUCAACCCUGGACAGGCGGUGGAAACUACCAAGCUGGAGUACGGUAGGGGCAGAGGGAAUUUCCGGUGGAGCGGUGAAAUGUGUAGAUAUUGGAAAGACCACCGAUGGCGAAGGCACUCUACUGGGCCAUGACUGACACUGAGAGGCGAAAGCUAGGGGAGCGAAUGGG
rnacentral:rRNA from 1 species